CCUACGGGAGGCAGCAGUGAGGAAUAUUGGUCAAUGGCCGGAAGGCUGAACCAGCCAUGCCGCGUGAAGGUCAGUGCCCUAUGGGCGUUAAACUUCUUUUGUGCGGGAGCAAUAAUGGUCACGUGUGGCCAGACGAGAGUACCGUACGAAUAAGCAUCGGCUAACUCCGUGCCAGCAGCCGCGGUAAUACGGGGGAUGCAAGCGUUAUCCGGAUUUAUUGGGUUUAAAGGGUGCGUAGGGUGUGAGGUAAGUCAGCGGGGAAAUGCCCCCGCUCAACGGGGUGAAGGGCCAUUGAUACUGCCUUGCUGGAAUGCGGAUGCCGUGGGAGGAAUGUGUGGUGUAGCGGUGAAAUGCAUAGAUAUCACACAGAACACCGAUUGCGAAGGCAUCUCACGAGUCCGCGAUUGACGCUGAUGCACGAAAGCGUGGGUAUCAAACAGGAUUAGAUACCCCAGUAGUC
rnacentral:rRNA from 1 species